CAGGUGCUGCAUGGCUGUCGUCAGCUCGUGUCGUGAGAUGUUCGGUUAAGUCCGCUAACGAGCGCAACCCUCACUGUGUGUUAUAUGUGUCACACGGGACUGCCGGUUUUAAGCCGGAGGAAGGUGGGGAUGACGUCAAGUCAGCAUGGCCUUUAUAUCCUGGGCUACACACACGCUACAAUGGUCGGUACAAUAGGUUGCCAAGCCGCGAGGCGGAGCCAAUCCAAAAAAGCCGGCCUCAGUUCAGAUUGUAGGCUGCAACUCGCCUGCAUGAAGAUGGAGUUGCUAGUAACCGCAGGUCAGCAAUACUGCGGUGAAUACGUUCCCGGGUCUU
rnacentral:rRNA from 1 species